AUCCAAACAGAGGCCAGAGAGAAAAAAGAGAGCGCGAUCCGCUUCGGACUUCCUUUUUCGCGCCUUUUCUCGCGCCCUAAUCUGCACUCUCAUUUGCGAUUUUUCUUCGUGAUGAUUUGAUGGAACUGGAAGAUCAUUUGACGAUAAACGGAUCAUAGACAGCGCGCGGACCUUCGAUCGUAGGAUCAGGAUCAGGCUCGUAGCUGUUGCUGUGUAAUAGGUUCUCGACAGAAAUUUCAAUGGCGAUAUUCUUAGCGUGUUCGAAUUUCUAUAUGUCUUCGAUACAAUGAAAUGCGGUAUGGUGCUCGUAAUCUGCUAAUAUUUUACGUAUCGCGCGUUCUAAUGAUGCUACUCUAGUUCAAAUUAUAAUCUUCCGACCGAAAACUGAUUAGCUUUGAUUUCGAACUUCGUAUAUGAAAUAGUGUUGAAGGAAAGUAAAGGUUAUCUACUAGCACACCUUGAGCUGAAUGUGUCCUUUACACAGACAAUUGAAUUUGAGAUGUCUCCUGUUUCAGAAAGGUAACGAAGCAUGUUAUAGAUGUAAAAUGACCGUUUACUAGCAUCCAAUAUGCGUUGUCUGUUCAUUGAAUUGUCAUUUCCACACUUUGGGGCAAAUUAUUUCACUCAGUUGAGUUUCUACUUCUGUAAUUUAUUUGGUUUUCAAUUGUUCUGCGACUCCUUGUAGUUAAUCAUGUCUGUAGUUAUAUUGCUUCCAUUAUGUAUCUAAUUCUAACCUACCUGGUUGUAAAUAACAAUGCAAGGAAGCUAUAA